AGGGUUCGAUUAUGGCUCAGGAUGAACGCUGACAGAAUGCUUAACACAUGCAAGUCUACUUGAUCCUUCGGGUGAUGGUGGCGGACGGGUGAGUAACGCGUAAAGAACUUGCCCUGCAGUCUGGGACAACAUUUGGAAACGAAUGCUAAUACCGGAUAUUAUGCGUGUCUCGCAUGAGAUUCGUAUGAAAGCUAUAUGCGCUGCAGGAGAGCUUUGCGUCCUAUUAGCUAGUUGGUGAGGUAAUGGCUCACCAAGGCGAUGAUAGGUAGCCGGCCUGAGAGGGUGAACGGCCACAAGGGGACUGAGACACGGCCCUU
rnacentral:rRNA from 1 species